UACAGAGGUGGCAAGCGUUGUUCGGAAUUACGUGGGCGUAAAGGGCGCGUAGGCGGCCUUCUAAGUCAGACGUGAAAUCCCCAGGCUUAACUUCGGGAACUGCGGUGCUGAUACUGGGAGGCUUGAGUGCGGGAGAGGGAUGUGGAAUUCCAGGUGUAGCGGUAGAAAUGCGUAGAUAUCUGGAGGAACACCGGUGGCGAAGGCGGCAUCCUGGACCGACACUGACGCUGAGGCGCGAAAGCUAGGGUAGCAAACGGG
rnacentral:rRNA from 1 species